rnacentral:rRNA from 1 species
CUUCCCACUGCCCCUCACAUCUCCCCGCCGUUCCCCAUUCUCCCAUGGUUGCCCCUGCUCUUCAUCCCCUUCAUGGUCGAAUCCGGUCGCGGGAGCAUCCGUCGGAGGCGGACGCGGAGGCGCGGGACUCGCAAGCCCAUGCUCUUCCCUGCUCCUUCCUCGAAUCCGGUCGCCGAAGUGACCGAGGAGGUGCUCGAGCUCGGUACGCUCGCCGGGGACGCCAUCCCUCCCUCUCCUCCUGAUGUCGUCGCCGUCGCUGCAAUGAGUCUCUCCACCAUCUCCCGCGUGCUCGCUUGCUCGUCCCAGUACAGAUUAGUCUCCCUCUCCGACCCCGCCGCCUGCUCUUCGCCUCUUCCCCGUCAAUUUGGUUCAUCGGCAGGUGCAUCACCUCACUGUGUGCAAUAUUCAGUCCCCUAGGAUUAUCUGCUCGGGGGCCAUGGCAUGUCCGCCGCCGUCGCUGCUUCAUGGCUGUGAGGUCGCCGGGAUGUGUUUCGUGUGCUGAUACCUGAUGUCUGCUCUGGGGAGCCGGGCUUCGUCUGCCAAUGUGGCCGGCAAGGUCCGAGACUAGAGAUCCCUGCUCGCCAACUCGCAGUCCCGGCGGCUGUUCUCCUACCAGUCGAAAAAGAUUAAGCUUUCUUCCUGGUUUUGGGUUUCCUUUGAUCCGCUUUAGUUGGUGGCUUUGUUGACAUUUCGCCCUUAAUGUUUCAGAUUUCUUCAAGGAGAAGAAGGAGGUCCCGAAAGGGGAUGGGAGCAACAAGUCUGAAUCGAAGGGAUAAGGAAAAUUUGUUUAAUCUCGCGGCUGCGCUUGGCUGUGAUCGCCUUGUCCUCACCGGCAUCGCGGCCGCAUGCCACGUGGACUAUGACUCCGCUGCCAGCAGCGAUUGGUCCUUCGCGUGCCUCUACCUCGUCGUGGCCGAGUCCUCCUCUCCCCAAAUCGACAUCCACCCCUUUGUCAAGCCUGGACAUGAGCAGGAUGGUGUACACGAGCUUCACAGACAUGUGGCCGUGGAGGCUCCGGAUGAGGCCGACGCUGAUGACGACUCGAACAGUUCGUAGAGCCGUACCAGGUAUAGCUACUCUUCCUCUACUCUUACUCGUCAAUCAAUAGCAGGCCAUUCUGUGUGUGGAGGAUGCAGCUCACACGGGUUUGUGGAGGUGAUGGCUCCAGUAUUUACCAAGGAUGUUUGUAGAUGUGUUGGCAUAUGAUCCAGUGCAUAAAUUGAUUGCUUUAGCUGAUCGAAUUAUUUGCAUCUGACGUGUAGCACACAUAUAUAAGGCAGAACAAGUUGUUCCACUCAUGGGUUAUGACUAAAAUAUUUUGGGAAAGUGUUGAUCUUCUGAAGAAGAUUGCUUGGUAUGGAGGAUUAGCUAAUUACAAAUAGGAUAAUCCAGCCUCAUGUUAGGCCACCUCCACCAUGGACACAACACCUCACGUUCGUUGUUUAAACAAAUUCAUCAUGCUUCAUCCUUUCUAGCUUUUCAUGUUGCCCAUUAAAAAGGUAAAUUAUAGAAAUUAAGACACUUGAAGAGCCUGGAAACAACCUUGGUUUGCAAUGUCUUUCAUCCUUUCUAGCUUUUUAUGUUGCCCAUUAAAAAGAAUAACCUCCAUGGAAUAUGAACACCCGGAUCCAAUUUUUUGCUAUUGAUCAAUCAUCUAAUUAGUAAUACAUGUAACUUAUUUUGACCCAAACCCUUUGUCACCCUCUGCGUGAACUUCUUAAUUACCAGAAUGGUUAUUCACAUAAAUCUCAACAAUUGGUCCGACUUGUCGUCUAGCAGCAAUGCAACAUGAAACCUCUGAUAGUCCUUUCUGCGGGGAGGAUAGUCCAGUAUUCCUUGAACAAAUCAUACGUGGUACAUUUGAUGGUCCUUAUGCUCAUAUUGGUGUUGCCUUGGAAAUUAGCAUCCAGUGCACCAAUUUAGUGGAUCCGUUAGUCUGUGGAGCGAUUCAGUUUGGCUAUCUAGAAGAUGAUAUAGAAACAAAGUAUCAAAAGCCAAUCCAUCAAAUAAUUAAUUUUAAAACCUCCACAAUCUGCAAAAUGGACAAAAGUAUGAAAAUACCAAUGAAAUAUUAUCUAACUACUAAAAAUUAUCUAUCAAAAGAAAUAUUAACUAUCUUAGAAUCUUUCAGUUAUAAUGUGCGUACAACAAUUGCUAUUAGAAAACAUCCUACAACAUUACUGAUAUUAUUAUUUCAGAAUGCCCUAAGACAGUCCGUAACUCAUUAUGAAGAUUAUCGCUAAACAUUACUGAUAUGAUUAUGUCACUUUUAUAUACUAAAAGAUAGUUUCAAGAAAUCAGAAGAUGUUUUUUCCUUGAACAAUCUUGGUAAGACAAGACAUCUUUUGGCAUGGUACUUUUAUUUACUAAAUACAUAAAAUACUCCGGUACUUUUGUCGGUUUCAUUUGGAUAUUACCUAAAAGAAUGCACAUAUUUAACAUAUAUGACCUCACAUUUGUGCAAAAUCAUUCAACAAAAUGGUGUUUGAAGGAAGCAAGAACAUCUGAUCACAAUCAUGCCUAAGACAAAGAGCUAGACAAACAUUUUCUUUCUUUCUUUGGCCUUUCAUUUACCAUAGAGCAAAAGCACAACCAGAUGCCAAGAACGUACCCAGUACAGAAUGUGAUACAUGUGCAUCCAUUGCAGGAGUUAGUAGCACCAUGCCACACCGAACAAGCCUUAAAACCCAGAGUAACCGUCAGAAUUUGGAAAACAACUACCUACGUCCCUUGCCUAUAUGGUACACCAAGGACUUAAUCCGUCAAGCCUGCAGAAACAAAACCAAGACCGGAAUAACAACAUCAGUCCAGCUUAUCCGCUGGAACAUGGUUUCCUUCAACUAUUACUUGCAAUUAUGAUAUCCUGUAAGGAUACAAAACAUCUUAAUAAGAUUGAUAGAACACAGAGAUAUGAAUUAUACAUAUCCAGAACAUGUACCCUAUCGUUUGGAAUUGUGAGUGUACCACAAACUGCAGCGUUCGGCGGCAAGGGAUAUGUUCGUCAUGGAACGGCGGGAUCUAGGAAGAUGGAGGCCCUGGGGAUGGAGCGGUGA